UGAUGGAAUGCUUACUUACUCCUGUC
rnacentral:piRNA from 1 species